AAAAAAUUAAUUAUUUUUUUUCUUCUUCUCUUCUCUUCUUAUUAAAAAAAUUAAUAAUAUACAUAUUAAAUACUUUUUAUGUUGAAAAUUGUGUUAUAUUAAUAUUUUGCUUAACUUUUAUAACUUGCGCCUCGCUUUGGUGAGGCGUGCGCCUCGCCUCGCGCCUUGGCGCUCAGGCUCCAGGUGACCUUGGCGCCUCGAUGCGCCUAGGGCUUUUUAAAACACUGAGUUUGCAUAUACCAAUAGUGUCAUUCAAUUCUUUGAUAUGUACUAAUCACUUACAUCAUGUAAAGUACGUUGAAGCCGUAUGGCAUUCCCAGCAUUUAAUUGUAGAUUUUCAUGGUAUAAGGUCACUUGUACACUAUAAAGAUAUUAUGGCCUCCAAAUAUAACUAGUUACUUAGUUGCAAAGGUAAAGCAUGAGUUUGACUUUGCAAAGGUAAAGCAUGAGCUUGAUCUCUAAGAGGCAAGCCACCAUAGCGCCAGACCCUAGCAUUUACUUAAAGAAACAAGGCACUAUGGUACCAAAUCAUAAUGAACAUUGGUAUAUAGAUCUCCAGUGGCGAGCCUUGACGGCAUCACAACAUCUCUAUUGAUUGAUAUCUCCACGGGUAGCCAUCAUAGUGCCACCAUAUCUCCAUAGAUUGAUUAUUGAGUUUAUGAGCCUAACUUAAUUGGGGGCACAUAAACCGUCAAGACUGCUAUCUCCAACACGAUAGUCAUGAGCCUAGCCUAAGCGGGGGCACAUGAACUACCAAGAUUUCCAUGCUAGCAAUCUUCUACAUUCAUGAGCCUAGUUUAAAUGGGGCACACAAACUAUUAGGAUCGCCAUGAUAGUAAUCUCCCACCAAGCCAUGAUCCCUCUAGGCCUUGUUUCUUUCAAAAGUGAUCGACUAAUACGCUUGGCACUUUGCUUGCAAGUCGCUCACUCUGGAAAAAAGUAACAAACAUACUACCUUAGCUCUCCCCUAUGCAUCUUCCAUCUUGGAUCUCAAACCAUGAAUCCCUGCCAUUAGUACCUCCCAUUGGUGAGCCAUAGUGGUGUGUUUUGUAAACUAAACCUUUUCUUGUCAUGCUAGGAGAGAGAUGAUCAAUGAGAAGAUGAAGAUUCUGCAAGACUUGGUCCCAGGAUGUAACAAGGUUAUUGGGAAAGAACUCAUAAUUAAUUACAUGCAGUUACUACAACAUCAGGUUGAGAUGGGACCAAAUCAAAGAUCUGAGAAGAUCCUCUCUACUCUCCAAUCCAAGAAAAAUUCUUCUUAGAGGAAGGUAUCAAAACCUUUUCCCAAGCAAAUCUUUCAGAAUUUUACUGCAAAGAAUUAUUCCAGACUGAGCUACUCCCUGCAGAAAAAAGAGAUGAUGAACCACUUGAUGAUCGACUCCCUCUCUUUGUGGGCUUGAGCAAAACCUGGAAUUUUUGUGUUUUGGAAUUAAUUUUGGGUUGAUUUGUAGGGGGGGUUUUAUGUCAGAAAUUAUAAAGUUAAUUUCAGAACUGAAUUGAUGUAUAUGAAAUGAACUAUUUCCAUGGAUUGUGGGUGCUUGAUGCCACUGUGACAAAAAAUUAUAUGAGAAAUACUAGAGGGAAGGGAUCACUAAGGCCCUGUUUGAUUUCA